UAAGUUUGAUGGCGACCGGCGCACGGGUGAGUAACACGUAUCCAACCUGCCGAUGACUCGGGGAUAGCCUUUCGAAAGAAAGAUUAAUACCCGAUGGCAUAGUUCUUCCGCAUGGUAGAACUAUUAAAGAAUUUCGGUCAUCGAUGGGGAUGCGUUCCAUUAGGUUGUUGGCGGGGUAACGGCCCACCAAGCCUUCGAUGGAUAGGGGUUCUGAGAGGAAGGUCCCCCACACUGGAACUGAGACACGGUCCAAACUCCUACGGGAGGCAGCAUG
rnacentral:rRNA from 1 species